GAUGAACGCUGGCGGCGUGCCUAAUACAUGCAAGUCGAGCGAAUGGAUUAAGAGCUUGCUCUUAUGAAGUUAGCGGCGGACGGGUGAGUAACACGUGGGUAACCUGCCCAUAAGACUGGGAUAACUCCGGGAAACCGGGGCUAAUACCGGAUAACAUUUUGAACCGCAUGGUUCGAAAUUGAAAGGCGGCUUCGGCUGUCACUUAUGGAUGGACCCGCGUCGCAUUAGCUAGUUGGUGAGGUAACGGCUCACCAAGGCAACGAUGCGUAGCCGACAUGAGAGGGUGAUCGGCCAAAGUGGGACGGAGACACGGCCCAGACUCCUACGGGAGGUAGCAGUAGGGAAUCUUCCGGAAUGGACGAAAGUCUGACGGAGCAACGCCGCGUGAGUGAUGAAGGCUUUCGGGUCGUAAAACUCUGUUGUUAGGGAAGAACAAGUGCUAGUUGAAUAAGCUGGCACCUUGACGGUACCUAACCAGAAAGCCACGGCUAACUACGUGCCAGCCGCCGCAGUAA
rnacentral:rRNA from 1 species